rnacentral:rRNA from 1 species
UACGUAGGGCGCAAGCGUUAUCCGGAAUUAUUGGGCGUAAAGGGUGCGUAGGCGGUUGGGUAAGUCUGAUGUGAAAUCUCACAGCUUAACUGUGAAACUGCAUUGGAUACUAUCCGGCUAGAGGAAUGGAGGGGAGACUGGAAUACUUGGUGUAGCAGUGAAAUGCGUAGAUAUCAAGUGGAACACCAGUGGCGAAGGCGAGUCUCUGGACAUUUCCUGACGCUGAGGCACGAAAGCCAGGGGAGCAAACGGG